rnacentral:tRNA from 1 species
UAAGGCGAAGCCAAUGUAAUGGCCUCUGACUGUUAAUCAGGUGUAAGUCUUUUGACCGCCUUAG